CACAGUCUCACUGGUUCCAUGGCUGUCCUGGAACUUCCUCUGUAUGAACAGGUUGGCCUUGAACUCAGAGAGACCCACUUCUACCUCCUGAGUGGUGGGAUUAAAGGCAUAUGCUACAAAAUUUUACUUGGAACAUUUCAAUUUAAGAAACUCAUAGAGAAAAGAGAAUGUCAAGAAUCUCAGUCACAACAAGCAGACAAACCACAGCAAGGGAGGAAGGACACUAGGACACACUUGAUACCUGCCUCAAUUAGGAAUCUCAGCCUCAGAGGAGCAUUGUAACUUUCUAGAAUAUAAAACAAAUGAGUCAAGAUUCUUCAUGGAGAUCUGUGACACCACAGCUCAACUUUCACUUAUUCACCAAGAAAUUACACUUCUCAUUGAAGACAGUAGGCUGGAGCUGGGCUGGGGUGACACAUACCCUUAACCCCAGUACUGGACAGCCAGAGAUGUCUGGGAUGCUUCUUCAAAUUUGGUUGAAACAAUGAAACUUUGUGAGUACAGGGUUUCCAGUUUCUCCCUGUGUCACUGUAGAGCAUCCGAUACUGUGUCACCCAGUCGGAACUGCUGUACCUUCCUUGGGUUGCAAUGGCACUGAUCUGCUUCCGAUUGCCAAAGUCAACCUGAAGCCAUUGGUAGUGGUCACUGUCUGAUGGAGACCAUCCCCCAGCACCUGAAAUGGCCAGAGGCAAAGGGGAAAAUGGAAAUUUAAAACUGAACUCUUACAAUUAAAAAUGGAUUAUUCUACAUAUCUUAAUUGGCUUUUUCAGUGCUGUGUUUCACAGAUGUAUUAUGAAGUGUCCUUUAUAGAUGCCAUUGGGACUUCAACUAAUAUUCUUCCAGCUGGGUAACAUUGAUUCUUUAACCUCUUUAUGGUAUAAUUAUGUGCUCAUUUUCUCCUGAGCAAAUGUCUUCAUAAUUCCUCAAUUAGAUCUUAUUAGUACAUGUCAAAGUCUAAUUGACUAAGGGUUGAUCAAUUUACCAUGAACUCUUCUGUUAAAACCAUAAGGAAAAAUAUGUGCCUUUUCUUUCACUCAUGUGAAGUUUUACCAUUAGCAAAUUAUAAAUAAAACAAAACUCAAUUAUAUACAACCUUCAAAUUUGUUUUGCUUUAUGAAGUUCAGAGUCAAAGCCUGUA